GAAUGAGUUUCUGACCUAUCAACUCGAGACGGCGGGGUAGAGGCCCGCCGCGGUAACGACGGGUACGGGGAAUCAGGGUUCGAUUCCGGAGAGGGAGCCCGAGAAACGGCUACCACUUCCAAGGAAGGCAGCAGGCGCGCAACUUACCCUAAUCUCGAUUCGAGGAGGUAGUGACAAGAAAUACCGAUGCGGGACCCUACGGGUGCCGCGUUCGGAAUGAGUACGAUUCGAACCACCUAACGAGGAACGAUCGGAGGGCAAGUCUGGUGCCAGCAGCCGCGGUAAUUCCAGCUCCAAUAGCGUACGUUAAAGUUGCUGCAGUUAAAAAGCUCGUAGUUGAACGUUCGGGUUCCGCGGGACGGGGCCGCCCCGCGAGGGACGGCGCCGCCCCGGGGGCUCGUGAUAUCUUAUCUCGCCGCCCGUCGCGAGGCGGACGGAGGGGAUGGAUGAGGUUACCUGGAAAAAAAUCGGGGC
rnacentral:rRNA from 1 species